GACGAACGCUGGCGGCGUGCUUAACACAUGCAAGUCGAACGGUAAAGCCCUGCUUGCGCUGUGGACCCGUGUCGCACAGGUGUGUGAAACACGAGUAACCCCCCCUCGUCUCUGUGGUAUACCUUCAGGACACCGUCUAUUACACCGUACGAGCUCAGCUCGCGCGUUCUGCGGGUGGAAAGGUUUCGUGGGUCGGGGAUGGACUCGCGGCUUAUCAGCUUGUUGGUGGGGUAGUGGCUCACCAAGGCUAUGACGGGUAGCCGGCCUGAGAGGGUGACCGGCCACACUGGGACUGAGACACGGCCCAGACUCCUACGGGAGGCAGCAGUGGGGAAUAUUGCACAAUGGGCGGAAGCCUGAUGCAGCAACGCCGCGUGAGGGAUGACGGCCUUCGGGUUGUAAACCGCUUUCAGUAGUGAAGAAGCGAAAGUGACGGUACCGGGAAAAAAAGCACCGGCUAACUACGUG
rnacentral:rRNA from 1 species